UAAAGGUUUGGUCCUAGCCUUAAGGUCAUUUAUUACUCAAAUCACACAUGCAAGUUUCCGCACCCCCGUGAAAACGCCCUUAAACUCCCCUUCCGGGACAAGGAGCCGGCAUCAGGUACAACAUUUUGCCCAAGACGCCUAGCUACGCCACCCCCUCACGGGCCCUCAGCAGUGACUAACAUUGAACAUUAGCGACAGCUAGACUCAGUUAGAGUAAAAAGAGCCGGCUAAUCUGGUGCCAGCCGCCGCGGUUACACCACGUGGCUCAAAUUGAUCUUCCUCGGCGUAAAGCGUGAUUUAAGUAACCACACCCAUUAAAGUUAAACUUGGGCUAAGCUGUAAUACGCUUGCCGCACAAGAAACUCGAAAGCGAAAGCUACUCUAAUUAUACCCCCUUGAACUCACGACAGCUGGGACACAAACUGGGAUUAGAUACCCCACUAUGCCCAGCCG
rnacentral:rRNA from 1 species